GCAAACUUGGUCAUUUAGAGGAAGUAAAAGUCGUAACAAGGUUUCCGUAGGUGAACCUGCGGAAGGAUCAUUAAUAAUUUAUCCAUCUUCUUUAUAUGGAUGAUUUAAAAAUCCAUAUUCACCUUGUGCUGUCUCCAUUGAAAUGUUUACUUUGGCAGUGCAGUCGUCUUAGCGACGAAAAGGUGUGAUGGUCUCUCUCCAUCAUACCCUGUCUGCCAGAGUUUUUUUUUCUUAACACACACUUUAAUUAAACAAAACACGACAUAGAAAUUAAUAAUUUGAGAAAAUUUUAAUACAACUUUCAACAACGGAUCUCUUGGCUCUCGCAUCGAUGAAGAACGCAGC
rnacentral:misc_RNA from 1 species